UCAUGCUCCAAGAAAACCAGG
rnacentral:miRNA from 2 species